GGGGGUGUAGCUCAGCUGGGAGAGCGCUUGGCUGGCAGCCAAGAGGUCAACGGUUCGAUCCCGUUCAUCUCCACCA
rnacentral:tRNA from 1 species